GUUCAUUUGUAGUUCCUCAGAGUGAUGAUGGGGUCUUCACAGGCAAGCAUGAGAUGGGCCUCCCCUCGAACUUUC
rnacentral:snoRNA from 1 species